UGUUGGUAUCUUAGUGGCGGACGGGUGAGUAACGCGUGGGUAACCUGCCUUACACUGGGGGAUAACACUUAGAAAUAGGUGCUAAUACCGCAUAACAGGGAAAGAUGCAUGUCUUUUCCUUAAAAACUCCGGUGGUGUAAGAUGGACCCGCGUCUGAUUAGCUAGUUGGCGGGGUAACGGCCCACCAAGGCGACGAUCAGUAGCCGGCCUGAGAGGGUGAACGGCCACAUUGGGACUGAGACACGGCCCAAACUCCUACGGGAGGCAGCAG
rnacentral:rRNA from 1 species